rnacentral:misc_RNA from 1 species
GAUGAAGAACGUAGCGAAAUGCGAUAAGUAAUGUGAAUUGCAGAAUUCAGUGAAUCAUCGAAUCUUUGAACGCACAUUGCGCCCGCCAGUAUUCUGGCGGGCAUGCCUGUUCGAGCGUCAUUUCAACCAUCAAGCCACCGGCUUGUGUUGGGGACCUGCGGCUGCCGCAGGCCCUGAAAAGCAGUGGCGGGCUCGCUGUCACACCGAGCGUAGUAGCAUACAUCUCGCUCUGGGCGUGCUGCGGGUUCCGGCCGUUAAACCACCUUCAUAACCCAAGGUUGACCUCGGAUCAGGUAGGAAGACCCGCUGAACUUAAGCAUAUCAAUAAGCGGAGGA